AUGCCGCGUGNGUGAUGAAGGCNUUAGGGUCGUAAANCUCUUUCGCCAGGGAUGAUAAUGACAGUACCUGGUAAAGAAACCCCGGCUAACUCCGUGCCAGCAGCCGCGGUAAUACGGAGGGGGUUAGCGUUGUUCGGAAUUACUGGGCGUAAAGCGUACGUANGCGGAUUAGAAAGUUAGGGGUGAAAUCCCAGGGCUCAACCCUGGAACUGCCUUUAAAACUCCUAGUCUANAGGUCGAGAGAGGUGAGUGGAAUUCCAAGUGUAGAGGUGAAAUUCNUANAUAUKUGGAGGAACACCAGKGGCGAAGGCGGCUCANUGGCUCGAUNCUGACGNUGAGGUACGAAAGUGUGGGGAGCAAACAGGAUUANAUACCCNGGUAGUCCACACNGUAAACGAUGAANGCCAGACGUCAGCAAGCAUGCUUGUUGGUGUCACACCUAANGGAUUAAGCAUUCCGCCUGGGGAGUACGGUCGCAAGAUUAAAACNCAAAGAAAUUGACGGGGGCCCGCACAAGCGGU
rnacentral:rRNA from 1 species